rnacentral:rRNA from 1 species
CAAAAACAUUGUUUUAUGAUAUUAUAUAAAAUUAUGUCUGUCCACUGAUAAUUUAAAGGACUGCAGUAUAUUGACUGUAUUAAGGUAGCAUAAUCAUUAGCUUUUUAAUUGGGAGUUGGUAUGAAGGUGAAACAGGGAAAUUCUUUAUUUUUUAUAAAAUUAUAAUUGAAUUUUAUUUUUAAGUGAAAAAUCUUAAGAAAAUUAGAGGGACAAGAAGACCCUAUUAAGUUUUAUUCUUUUUAUAAUUUAAUUAUAGGAAAUUUAUUAGAUAAUAUUAGUAAAGGAAUUUAAUUGGGGCGAUUAAUUUAAAUACUAAAUUUUUUUUUAAUUUUUAUGGCGGUAAUUUGAUCUUAGAUAAAAAGUGAAAGGAAAACUACUGUAGGGAUAACAGCGUAAUUUUUAAUAAAAGUUCUGAUUAAAAUGAAAGUUUGCGACCUCGAUGUUGGAUUAAGUUAAGAUUUUGGUGAAGAAGCUAAAAAUUUUGGUCUGUUCGACCAUUCAAGCUUACGUGAUCUGAG